AGGGGAUUCACUUAAAGGACCUACUCGUUUUCCUGGCACUAUAGUGCCCUGAGGGUGCCAACACCCUAAGGGUCCCCCUCCCGCCGGGCUCUGGGGAGAGGAAGGGGUUAAAAUCUUACCUUUCUCCAGCACCGGGCAGGGAGCUCUCCUCCUCCUCUCCUCCUUCAUAGCGACAUCAUCGGCUGAAUGCGCAUGUGCGGCACGAGCCGCGCGCGCGCAUUCAGCCAGUUAAUAGGAAAGCAUUUACAAUGCUUUCCUAUGGACGCUGGAGUCUUCUCACUGUGAUUUUCACAGUAAGAAGCACGCAAGCGCCUCUAGC